GACCUGAAUCAGGUAGGCAGUGUAUUGUUAGCUGGCUGCUUGGGUCAAGUCAGCAGCCACAACUACCCUGCCACUUGCUUCUGGAU
rfam:Pan troglodytes isolate Yerkes chimp pedigree #C0471 (Clint) chromosome 5, whole genome shotgun sequence.